UACGUAGGGGGCAAGCGUUGUCCGGAUUCAUUGGGCGUAAAGCGCGCGCAGGCGGCCUGCAACGCCCGGCGUGAAAGCUCCCAGCUUAACUGGGAGAGGUCGUCGGGGACCUGGUGGCUAGAGGCCGGUAGGGGUGAGCGGAAUUCCCGGUGUAGUGGUGGAAUGCGUAGAUAUCGGGAGGAACACCGAUGGCGAAGGCAGCGGCCUGGCCUAGAACUGACGCUGAGGUGCGAAAGCGUGGGGAGCGAACAGG
rnacentral:rRNA from 1 species